CCUGUAAUACAAGUAGAUACAGGUGUAUUAAGAGCUUUGAGGGUUCUGUUUGAUUUUCCCAACUUGCAUGAAAAUAACUGCCUUAUCCCUUUUUUGUAAGUUUUGCAAUAUCUCCAAACAUGGAUGCUGUUUCUCACUAAAUCACUAGUAAGAGGUAAGCUAUUUAUAAAGCCUGCAUUAUAUUAUGAAGUACUCUGCUUGAUGUCAAAUGCAAAUCUUUUACAAAUUUUCUUGAAGAAAGAUAGCUUGUUAACGUUUGUUUCUUACUAAAUUGUCAUUAGG